rnacentral:lncRNA from 1 species
GGCGAGCUUGCACAUAACAUCAUCCUCUCACGGGGGUGGGGGCGUCUGUACUGAUCUUAGACUUGUCAUCUCGGGGUAGUUUUACUUCUUUACAUUCAGUGGGUUAGUGCCAAGUGCUCCCACUCCCCAGGAAAGGACUGGGGACCCCCUGUCCGGGUCCCCAGCUGCCUUUGUUGGUGUGGGCUUAUUGUUACUCUGACAGGACUGCUUUGGAAGAGCUGCUUUUAGGGAUUCCCUUUUAAGUACCCCAGGUUGGGAACAGGGUUCUCACAGCCAAGAGCAUAGGAAAGGGGCCCUAUUUUCCUGCUGCUUCACAGCUCAGAACAUGUACUGAAUGGAAUGUAUUUUUAAGAGAAUAAAGUCCAAAGCCAUGAGCAAUGACUCAGGGCUCCUGGGGUGCAUGUGUAUAGUUGAAGCUGCCUGUCUGCAUGUAUCCUCUGGCUCUAAUGCGGUCUGUUGGCUCUGCAGCACAAUAUGUAACCAAUAAAGCUCCCUAGUUUCCACAUGCUCUGUGUGAGUGUGCGUCAGUGAUGCCAUUCUCCUUGAUGUCAUCUCUGUGUACAACUGUUGCUAUGCACUGGUGCAGCUAGUAUAUUUCACUGUGUUUUACUGAAAA